rnacentral:rRNA from 1 species
CACGGACCGCACGAACGUUAUUCGGUAUCACUGGGCUUAAAGGGUGCGUAGGCGGCUUGGCAAGUUGGGUGUGAAAGCCCUCGGCUCAACCGAGGAAUUGCGCUCAAUACUGCCGAGCUCGAGAGAGACAGAGGUAAGCGGAACUAAUGGUGGAGCGGUGAAAUGCGUAGAGAUGUGGAGGAACACCAGUGGCGAAGGCGACUCUUUGGUCUGUAACUGACGCUGAGGCGCGAAAGCGUGGGGAGCAAACAGG